rnacentral:rRNA from 1 species
UACGGAGGGUGCGAGCGUUGUCCGGAAUCACUGGGCGUAAAGGGCGCGUAGGCGGCGCGAGUAGUCAACGGUGAAAGCCCGGGGCUCAACCCCGGGUCGGCCGUCGAUACUCUCGUGCUUGAGCACUGUAGAGGCAGGUGGAAUUCCGGGUGUAGCGGUGGAAUGCGUAGAGAUCCGGAAGAACACCGAUGGCGAAGGCAGCUCGCUGGGACGGUACUGACGCUGAGACGCGAAAGCGUGGGGAGCAAACAGG